rnacentral:pre_miRNA from 1 species
ACUGAACAGUGUCUGGGCUGCAGGACAGAUUCGGACUUCUUCGUUGUUGUACAAUUUGGACUUGAAAACGGCCAUGUUAAAUCUUGGGCUCCCAUGAAAGU